GGCGGAUGAUGCAAGUGUUAGAAAGGCUCUCCACAUCCGUGAGGGGACGAUCGGUGAAUGGCUACGGUGUAAUAGAGAGCUGGCUUAUGUUUAUGAGGUUAACAGCAGUGUAAAGUACCAUCUCAACAUGACCAUGAAAGGUUACCGAGCUCUGAUAUAUAGCGGUGAUCACGACUUAUCAAUUCCAUUUGUGGGGACAGAAACAUGGAUAAGAUCACUGAAUUUCUCAGUAGUUGAUGAUUGGCGACCGUGGGCUGUUGAUGGCCAAGUUGCCGGGUG